rnacentral:tRNA from 2 species
GGGACAAUAGCUUAAUAGGUUAAAGCAUUUCGCUCAUAACGAGAGUGAUAGGAGUUCGAUUCUCCUUUGUCCUA